UACGGAGGAUCCACGCGUUUUCCGGAUUUAUUGGGUUUAAAGGGUGCGUAGGCGGAUGAUUAAGUCAGUGGUGAAAGCCGGCAGCUCAACUGUCGAACUGCCAUUGAAACUGAUCGUCUUGAAUCUAGUAGAGGUAGGCGGAAUGUAUCAUGUAGCGGUGAAAUGCUUAGAUAUGAUGCAGAACACCAAUUGCGAAAGCAGCUUACUAGGCUAGUAUUGACGCUGAGGCACGAAAGCGUGGGGAUCAAACAGG
rnacentral:rRNA from 1 species